rnacentral:tRNA from 1 species
GGGAGCGCGCAGGCUGCUGGUGCACCUCCUGGUCUUCAAAACCAGUGUAGCCCCGCACAACGGGGCUGGAUGGGUUCGAUUCCCAUGCGCUCCCGCCA